GUCUUCGUGGAGUAAAAAGGCAACUCGUUCUCAUACCAUAUUCGUUCCGCAGUCUGAAAUAUGCGAGAAAGUUGGUGGUUCGAAUCCACCCGAGGAUG